GACGAACGCUGGCGGCGUGCCUAAUACAUGCAAGUUGAGCGAUGAAGAUUGGUGCUUGCACCAAUUUGAAGAGCAGCGAACGGGUGAGUAACGCGUGGGGAAUCUGCCUUUGAGCGGGGGACAACAUUUGGAAACGAAUGCUAAUACCGCAUAACAACUUUAAACAUAAGUUUUAAGUUUGAAAGAUGCAAUUGCAUCACUCAAAGAUGAUCCCGCGUUGUAUUAGCUAGUUGGUGAGGUAAAGGCUCACCAAGGCGAUGAUACAUAGCCGACCUGAGAGGGUGAUCGGCCAAAUUGGGACUGAGACACGGCCCAAACUCCUACGGGAGGCAGCAGUAGGGAAUCUUCGGCAAUGGACGAAAGUCUGACCGAGCAACGCCGCGUGAGUGAAGAAGGUUUUCGGAUCGUAAAACUCGGUUGGUAGAGAAGAACGUUGGUGAGAGUGGAAAGCUCAUAAAGUGACGGUAACUAACCAGAAAGGGACGGCUAACUACGUG
rnacentral:rRNA from 1 species